rnacentral:rRNA from 1 species
CCUUUGACGUUAGCGGCGGACGGGUGAGUAACACGCGGGUAACCUACCUAUAAGACUGGGAUAACUUCGGGAAACCGGAGCUAAUACCGGAUAAUAUUUCGAACCGCAUGGUUCGAUAGUGAAAGGUGGUUUUGCUAUCACUUAUAGAUGGACCUGCGCCGUAUUAGCUAGUUGGUAAGGUAACGGCUUACCAAGGCGACGAUACGUAGCCGACCUGAGAGGGUGAUCGGCCACACUGGAACUGAGACACGGUCCAGACUCCUACGGGAGGCAGCAGUC